rnacentral:rRNA from 1 species
CCCGCUGAACUUAAGCAUAUCAAUAAGCGGAGGAAAAGAAACCAACAGGGAUUGCCUCAGUAACGGCGAGUGAAGCGGCAACAGCUCAAAUUUGAAAUCUGGCUCUUUCAGGGCCCGAGUUGUAAUUUGUAGAGGAUGCUUCGGCGUCGGCUCCGGUCUAAGUUCCUUGGAACAGGACGUCAUAGAGGGUGAGAAUCCCGUAUGUGAUCGGUUGCCUCUGCCAUGUGAAGCUCCUUCGACGAGUCGAGUUGUUUGGGAAUGCAGCUCUAAAUGGGAGGUAAAUUUCUUCUAAAGCUAAAUACUGGCCAGAGACCGAUAGCGCACAAGUAGAGUGAUCGAAAGAUGAAAAGCACUUUGGAAAGAGAGUCAAAAAGUACGUGAAAUUGUUGAAAGGGAAGCGCUUGCAACCAGACCUGCCUGCAGUUGCUCAUCCGUGGCUUUUGCCCGGUGCACUCUUCUGCUGUCAGGCCAGCAUCAGUUCGGGCGGUCGGAUAAAGGCUCCGGGAAUGUGGCUCUCUUCGGGGAGUGUUAUAGCCCGAGGUGCAAUGCAGCCCACCCGGACCGAGGACCGCGCUUCGGCUAGGAUGCUGGCGUAAUGGUUGUAAGCGACCCGUCUUGAAACACGG